UAAAAUAAAUAAAAUUAUUUUAAAAUAAAGUAAAUCAGAGCCUGAGAAAAUAUCUGCAUUAUUAUCUGCGCAAUUUCUGUGACUGGGAAAAAAAAAAGCACUUCUCGUUGCUCCAAGAGAGGAAAAUAAUCACAUUAAUGGAUUUAAGGAUCAUCAUUAGUAUUUGUUUUGAUUUGUGCCGAUUUAAAAAAAAAAAAAGACUAAACAAAAACGAGUCCUUUUUGGACGGGAUUUUAAUUACUGUGAUUAAUGUGCGUGAUCACUAAGAGUAAUGAGAAAUAUAAAAAUGCUCAAAAGCAAAACAAACGGGUGCAUUAUGAUAAUGAGAAUUGUGCUUGGUUUUCAUAAAAAUCGUCUCAAAAUAAUAAUAAUAAUAACAUAAAUGGGCGGAAAAGAUUGUUUAAUACUAAUACUUUUGUUAUUGUCUUAUACUUUCGGUAUUGUUUGGUCAAGAAAAAUAGGCCUGUUUUGUUUAUUUUUUUAAAUCCUAUAAAAAUAAAACAGUAUUUUUCUUUCGAUUUUUGGGUUAAAACGUGAGUCGUGUUACAUGUUUGGCCGAGACUCCUUGUAAUACCAUCAAGAAUUGAUAUUAUUUUCCACUAGGAGGAGCCCCACUCUCUUGUUUGGAAGGGGUUCUGGAUCCAAUCAGCAUCCGUCGGCUGCAGACGCACUCAAAGCGUUCCUGCCAGGCAACUCGACGGAGGUCUCGAAAAGCUUCUACACGUCAGAUGCCUUCACCGUGAAUAUAUCUGUACAAUACAACUGAGAGUUGAACUUACUGAAGCAAUCUAAACUUUCUCAGAUACUUUGUCACCAAAUGCUGCCGUGCUUGUCUCAGGACUACACUGAAAGCUGCUUUGAUUGUGGACUGUCCAUUUGAAUCAACGCCACUGAUGCAUGGAAGUGUCUCUAAUAGAAAUAACUUCGUUUUUUUUCGAUUGAGAAAGUUGGAGAAUGUUUAUGAUGCUUGUAAAACCUCGCUGAGGACAUCUAUUUCAAAUGCUUUGAAAGAUCAUGUUGCACUCACGUGAAACAUGAUUACUUCUGUCGAUGAAGAAGAUCCAAUGGAUGAAGGCUAUGAAGGAUGACGGCCUUUUAUUUUUGAUUAAAGACUUAAUAGCUGUUGAUUCAAACUGAAGGCAAAUAAAACCAAUGAAGUUUGUCGUGUCUGUUUUGCUUUCACGGUACCAAAUGUUACAAUGUUUUGAAGAUGUUCCCUACAUGUUUUGGACACUAUUGAGGAUUUUAUUUCAAUUUGUUUCAAUUUUAAAAAUUCCUUAUCCGAAACCUCUUUAUUUGCAGUUUCUCUGCUCGUAUGUUUUAUCCGUUUUGGAAGAAACCUUUCAGACUGUAUAUAGGCUUAUUUGCUGUUUUCUCUUUGGUUUUCGACAUUUUAUAUCUAUAUAAAAAAUCUAAUGAAAAACCAAGACUGUACAAAGUUUGUUUUUAAUAAAGUGUUUUUGGUCAUA